CCCGCAUCUUAGCUCUGUCACGGCCCAUCUCAGAUAGCUAGCCAAUCCAAACACACCAACUCUGAACGCCCUCCUCCUAGCUCUGUCAUGGCCCAUCCCAGAUAGCUAGCCAAUCCAAACACACCAACUCUGAAUGCCAGCCACCUAGCUCUGUCACGGCCCAUCCCAGAUAGCUAGCCAAUCCAAACACACCAACUCUGAAU